rnacentral:rRNA from 1 species
GACUAGCAGAUUCAUUAUGCGGAGGAAAAGAAACCAGCAGGAUUUCCCUAGUAACGGCGAGUGAAGCGGCGAACAGCUCAAAUUUGAAAUCUGGCUCUUUUAGAGUCGUAGUUGUAAUUUGCAGAGGGCGCUUUGGCUUUGGCAGCGGUCCAAGUUACCUUGGGAACAGGACGUCACAGAGGGUGAGAAUCCCGUACGUGGUCGCUAGCUAUUGCCGUGUAAAGCCCCUUCGACGAGUCGAGUUGUUUGGGAAUGCAGCUCUAAAUGGGAGGUAAAUUUCUUCUAAAGCUAAAUAUUGGCCAGAGACCGAUAGCGCACAAGUAGAGUGAUCGAAAGAUGAAAAGCACUUUGGAAAGAGAGUCAAACAGCACGUGAAAUUGUUGAAAGGGAAGCGCUUGCAGCCAGACUUGCUUGCAGUUGCUCAUCCGGGCUUUUGCCCGGUGCACUCUUCUGCAGGCAGGCCAGCAUCAGUUUGGGCGGUGGGAUAAAGGUCUCUGACACGUUCCUUCCUUCGGGUUGGCCAUAUAGGGGAGACGUCAUACCACCAGCCUGGACUGAGGUCCGCGCAUCUGCUAGGAUGCUGGCGUAAUGGCUGUAAGCGGCCCGUCUUGAAACACGGACCAAGGAGUCUAACAUCUAUGCGAGUGUUUGGGUGUCAAGCCCGAGCGCGUAAUGAAAGUGAACGGAGGUGGGAACCCGCAAGGGUGCACCAUCGACCGAUCCUGAAGUUUUACGGAAGGAUUUGAGUAAGAGCAUGGCUGUUGGGACCCGAAAGAUGGUGAACUAUGCUUGUAAUAGGGUGAAGCCAGAGGAAACUCUGUGUGGAGGCUCGCAGCGGUUCUGACGUGCAAAUCGAUCGUCAAAUUUGGCAUAGGGGCGAAAGACUAAUCGAACUAUCUAGUAGCUGGGUUCC